ensembl:lncRNA
UUUUCACGAGAUAAACCUUGGUUUAUGUACCUUGGCAUCGUCACUGUUCAUUUCUAUAUUAUUUCAGUGUGUAUAUCUUUAAAUUGGAUCUGGAUUUUACAUGUACGCACAUUUCAGAUGAGAUGUGGAUAUAAUCUGAAAGAAUUGCCUAAGAACUUGAGGAUGGGACUGAGGAAGUGGAGUGGCUGCAGUCCUUAUCUGAUCUGAGGAGGAGGAAAGGAAUCGAACUGAAGUGGCCAUCAUGUCAUGUGAGGGAUUAUACAUCAGGAAUAUUUGCUAAAAUAUGGAAUGUGAUGAAGGAAGGGCUGUAGAGUGAGAUGGCAGCUUUCUGGAAGACAGCUAGUUUGGCAAGUUGCAUGAUAAGACUGCAAAUGACUGAAGAGUGAAACACAACAAGGCAUAUGGACAAGCAGGACUGGGAAGGCUUGUUUUGUUAAGUGAACUCUCUUUUCUCCAAACUUCACUAUUUGUGUAUCAAAAAGGUUGUGUUGCUUUUUUUUUUCCCCCCCACACCGCUUCCUGGUGACUUUCUGUUGGUUUACAGUCUGUGCGCUCAGUCAGGACUCAUUUUUAAUCUCUGUUGCCUUGUGUGCACCCAGAUCUGUGCUGCCACCAACGUAUUUCCUCCUUCUGGCAAGGACACCUAACUCAGAAGGCACCACACUCACAAAUUAACAGCACAAGUGCUUCAGCUUAAAGUUCUGCAGUGCCUAGGUGGUCAGUAUCUGAAUUAGUCAGUAUCAUUCGGGUUAGCUGUGUAGAAGCACCAAAGGAACAGAGAAUUACAUGGCAAAACUCAGCAAGAUGAAUGGAGAGCUGCUAGAAAUAUACCUGGAAAAGGACUUAAGCUUAGGGAGUGCCUCAAGUUGUGUGAUUGUCUGAGACUCAGAUACCACAGUACCCUUCAGCUUUCCUGAAAUUACCAAUACAGUCUUUUUUUGUUCAAAAUCCCUUACUGUUGUGUUCCUUGCCUGCCACUCCCAGCAUGUGCUAUGCACUAGCUCAGCAGUUAAAUGGCAGCAGACUUGUGCUCAGUUUCUUCCUCUGCCUGAGGGAGCACUAAUCAGUGUCUCUCAUCUUCCAGGAAAGUAUCCUGGCUAUGAAAUACUCUGAAGUGGAAUGGUUGCUGUGUCUCCUUUUGAAGGUGUUUUGCUUUACAUCAAAUAAUUAACUAUUAAUUGGAAGAGCAAGAGAAGAUCAGUUAAUGGAUUAGCUCACACAUCUGGGAGUAUAGUCAUAGUUUGUAAGCCCUAGCUCCAGGGAAUGCUCGUUAUUAGUCUUGCAGUCUGUGUUUAGCCUGGUUUUCUGAGAUCGUCCUUGAUUAGAGUAUCACAGCAGAGGGAAGCAGAGGAAUGUGGAACUGUCCAUAGGUAUGAACAGAAAUGAAAAUCAUUAAAGUUAAGAUGGUACUGGAGAUGUCAGCUAACUUGAGCAAUAGCAGCUGAGUGUGUUGAUAGAUAUUCAGGAUUAAUUAGCAGUAAUAAUUUUAAGUAUCUGAUUUUGGAACACAAGCACCAAAUCUAGUAUCUAAAUCCUCAUUAUGUGCUCAUAUAGCUCUAACCAUGUGUGCCCAUACUGAGAACGUAAGACAUUUUUAAAGUCCCAUGCAAUUUCCUGUGCAGCUAUUAUUGCUUUCAUGCUUUCUAUGUUGUACAAACAUCUUGAACCCUCCUCUUUGUGUCUUCUAUUUUCAUGGCUUCCCAUUUCUAUGUGUGUUGCCACUCACUCUUGCAAGAAUCUGCUAGUUCCUUUUCUUUUCCCCCAGAUUUCAUGUCUAAAAUUGCUCCUUCAAAUAUACUAUUUCCUGUUCUAGUAUCUGUUCUAAACUGAUGAUCUUAGCAAUAUCUUCAGUAGGUUGUUUUUAGCUGUCAUCACUUCCUUAUUGGAGUGUUUUCUGAUAUGAAGUUAACUGACUUAAUGUAUAGCAAUGAUUAUAUUAGUGAUCUUUCUGCUCCCUCUUUGUUUCCUACAGGAAAAAUAAAUCUAUUUUAUCUGGAUUUUUAUUCUUUUUUUUUUUAUUAUUAUUAUUUUAUUGGAGAGUCAUUGUGAAUGUAUCAAGAUUUGAGUCAUAGGAAUGAACCAAAUCAGUUACACUUUUAUCAGUGAUUUAAUGUGGAUGUUAACAUUAACACUUCUCUGUGAACCACAUGUUUUAUCAAAAUCCAGAAAUAGUCAAGAAUACCGAACCAGUUAUGGUAGAUUGCUUUCACUGUCACCA